UACGUAGGGGGCAAGCGUUGUCCGGAAUCAUUGGGCGUAAAGCGCGCGUAGGUGGCCCGGUAAGUCCGCUGUAAAAGUCCAGGGCUCAACCCUGGAAAGCCGGUGGAUACUGUCGGGCUCGAGUCCGGAAGAGGCGAGUGGAAUUCCUGGUGUAGCGGUGAAAUGCGCAGAUAUCAGGAGGAACACCAAUGGCGAAGGCAGCACUCUGGGACGUGACUGACGCUGAGACGCGAAGGCGUGGGGAGCAAACAGG
rnacentral:rRNA from 1 species